rnacentral:tRNA from 2 species
GCCGAGGUGGCGGAGCAUGGACUAACGCGCGAGCCUGGAGAGCUCGUCUCCCUCUGGGAGGCUUGGGUUCGAAUCCCAACCUCGGCG